rnacentral:lncRNA from 1 species
AUUAGAAAGUUUCUUUCCAUAUUUAGCACCUUGUACCGGUACAAGGGAAGCUGUCCAGGGUACAGCAUGACGGAAGAUUUUUCUGCGAAGCUUCUGUACCCUGAACAGACUGCAGCUUGUUCCGGAACAGGGCUUGUACCGGUACAGCCAUGAUGGUUGUACCGGAACAACCAUCGUAAAACCCUGUGGCAAUAGCCAAUGUCUGUACCGGUACAGCAAAACCCUUGUACCGGUACAACAAUGCAAUUUUUGCUGAAAAUGCAUUGUUUCGAGUUU